CUGGAUAUCCCAAUGUAUUUGUGACAUUCACAUGCAACACAGUUUAGUCAGAAAUUCAAUCAAUGCUACAAGAAGUAGGCCAAACAGCAUCAGAAAGACCUGAAAUUGUUGACCAAGUGUUCCACAUAAAGCUCAAGGAGUUCGUGAGAGACAUAAGAGAAAGGUAAUACUUUAGAAAAACACUCGCAAGUAAUACCCAACUACUUGAUCACACCUCUUACUAUAUCCCUAUAGAAAAAUAACUAACGGUUAUUUCAAAAUUGCAGUUAUAUACACAAUAAAGUUCCAAAAAAGGGAUCUCCGACAUGCCCACAUAGUCAUAUUCCUUGACAGAAAGGAAAAGAAACACAAGUACCCCGAACCAUCAGAGGUAGAUAGGAUAACAUGCACUGAAAUUCAAGACUAGUUGAUCCAUAAGGAUAUGUAGUGGUUGAGAACUACAUGUUGCAUGGACCAUGUGGCAUGGUCGACAACACAUGUAUAAGAAAGUUCCCUAAAAAAUAUGACAGUAAUACCACUGUAGGUGAAGAUGGAUAACCAGUAUAUAGAAAACGAUAAGAUCAAUAGGUGCCUCAAGUACACGUACAUAUCAGGCAAUGACGUGUGUUGAAGAAUAUUUCAGUUCAAAAUGCACUUUCAAGAUCCCUGCAUCGAAAGGUUGCAUUUCCACCUAGAGAAUGAGCAACAAAUCAUUUUAACUGAUUAUACAGAUUUAACAAAGAUCGUAAGGAAAGAAAGAGUGGGAAUAACAAAAUGUACAUAGUGGAUGGAGACAAACAAGAUCCCGUGAAGCAAGAGAAUUAACAUAUGCAGAGUUCCCGUUAAAAUGGGUAUGGAAGAAAAAAGAGAAAAAGUGGGGCAAAACAAAGAAAGGAAGAUACGCUGGAAUGAUAUAUAUGCUCAUACAACAAAUGGUGAAAAAUACUACAUGCGAAUGCUACUUAACGCCCGCAAAGGAUGCAUGUCUUUCAAAAGGAACCGUAAAUGGAGUUGUCCACACUUCAUACAAAUCUGCUUGCGAAGCACUAUGAUAUCAACGACAGAGUGGAUUGAGUGCAUAAAUGGGGCAUCAGACUGGGUGAUUGGCUACCAGCUAAGACAACUGUUCACAACUCUUAUGCCAUUGAAGUCACAAGCCCAAAAAUAUUGUGGGGGACAUGCUCAGAAGUUCUAAGCGAACACAUGGAGUAUAGGCAGAGAAGGCUCUUGAACUAUCCUACACUUUGACUAACAGAUACACAGAAGCAAGGAUACGCCUUGGUGAAAGUAGAUAAGCUCAUGAGACAAGCUGGAAAGACAUUUAAGGAAUACCCCGGAAUACAACAUUCGGAUUCUUCACAGAUAAAGUAACUUGGAAACAGACUACUCAAUGAAGAGAUAACAUCAUUCCAGGAUCUUUGGCAAUAUGAACUCUGAACAACUACAUGCGUUUGAUUCAGUAAUGGAAUCGAUGAACAAAAAUUUGGGAAAGAAUAUAUUUGUGGACGGCUAUGGCGGGAUCUGUAAGACAUACCUACGGAGGCAAUCACAGCAAAGUUGUGUUCCGAAGGAAAGAUAGUACUAGCAGUGGUGUCAUCUCAUAUUGCAGCGCUGCUUCUAUAGGGAGCACACUCGAGGUUCCACAUCCCCCUAUCCUUGCAGAAGAGUCAACAUGUUAAGGUUCCCACUUGACCUACUAAAAAAGACGUCACUUAUACUACGGGAUAAAGGUCUAAUGGCAAAUAAGAUAUGCUUUGAGGCACUAGACAGAAGUAAAGGUAGUACUAUAUUUUCCUAAACAAGUGUUCACAAAUGGAUAGCUACACGUAGCAUUAUCAAGAUUCACAAGAAGAGAUGGACAAUGUGUAAUGGUAAAUGAUGAAGAUAGCAAAGAGGAUGAUGUGGUCAAGAACAUUGUCUAUACUGAACUAUUUUAAAGGUAUGGAAAAACAAAAACACUUUUAGUAUGAUUCUUAGAUAAGAAUAGGUACAUGAAAAAUUUGUACACUGCAAACUAUCUUCAAAAUACAAAUUAAUAGCAUACCAAUGCUAACAUGAUAUGGCAGGACAAAUAUGGUCCACUGCUCUGCGUAAGUACUGGAAACGUGCAUCAACAUUUGAAGGAAAUAGUUAAUCAAUACCAAACAUGUACACUAUAUUUUCUGAUAUUUGUGGCUUAAUAUAUAGUACAACACAAUAUAAAGAGCAUCUGUGCAUCAUUAUAAUUUGUAUGACAAUGCGGUCAGACCUAUUUUACUACUCUAUUAAUAUAAAUACAUUUUUGUCUUUGGGAAAUAUUAAACUAGAGUUACUCACAAUUACACUGAUUAAUACAUAUAUUUGUUCAAUAUGAAUUGGGGUAAGGUUUUUAUUAUUUAUAUGUGUUAAAUAUGAAUUGGAGUAAGGGGGGCUAAUACUGCCGAUUACGGUCCAAGCCUGGAAAGAAGUGGAAGGGGCAUAAGAAAAUAAACAUUUUCCACUAACAGGCAGUACCUUAAUCACAUUAUAUUGGUAUAUACAACCGUACAAACAUAAUAAAAGGUUAAUAAAAAAUCGCAAUCAGGAAAAGGAGAAAGGGGAACCUGUAGGACGAAGAAAGCUGCCGAUGUGGAGGAAGACGACGAUGUGUCUGGCUGCCUCGACUGGGAACGACGACGAUGCGUCUGGCUCGCGCGCUAGGGGAAGACAACGCUGCCGCCAUCCUCAUGCUGAAGAUGGAUUCAAGCUGGCAGCGGAAGACAAGAUCCAAGCCCACAUCACAUGCGAGUCGAGCUGGGAGGUGCCUCAGUCGAGGACGAGCAAGCUAAAGGGAGAGCAAACUGAUGGUAGCUGAGUUACCAGUCGGAUCUCAUUCGGUCGUAGGAAUUUUGGAAUGAGCGAGCGGAGAGAAGAAGGAAAGGAGAAAGGGGAUCGGGCAAGAGUACGAUUUUUUAUUUGUAGGGAAGCAACUGCAAUACGUUUCUUUUAGCGGUGCAAGAGCUACAUGCUCACAUGUGAAGGUACGGUCUGAGCAAGAGAGAAAAUGUGUGAGCAUUGUGUUGUGUGCAUCUCCG
rnacentral:lncRNA from 1 species